AUGGCCCGCAGAGGGCAGCCUGGGGGGGACCUGCUUCGUGGGCAACGGGGAGAGCCAGCAGCCACGAGGCCAAGGAGGAAACGUCCGUGGAGGCUGGGCUGCCCUUCCUCGCCCCUGGGCAGGCCCUUUGCCUCCCAGCGGGGCAGGAGCAGCUCUUCGGUGCCCACGGGGAGGGCUGCAGACUUCAGCGCUGUCUACUGGAGCAACAUCACUUUCCCAAAUCUCCAGCCUGUGAACUUUUCCCUCCUGGUCCCCUUUCCACCACCUUUGGUAGGGUCUGAGAUCAGAGCCCCAAAGGCUGCUGGGCAAAGAGGGACAGCAGGGCCCCGUGGCACAGCAGCUGCACUUUGGCCUGGAGGAAAUAGUGUGCUUUUCCAGGUUUGUCCCCUGAAAUUGGGAGUCUGUAACAGAAGGACCAGUGUGAGCCGGGGAGACCGGCCUCACCGUGCUGCCUAUCCCCACGGCAGCAACAGCUUCAUCCUUCUUGAAGCCCCUUGUGCUCCCGCCAUAGCUCCGGGACCAACCCUGGCCGCAGCCUGCAAGCAUCAGCCCUGGGCGAAAGCGCGGUCCUCGCUGAUGGCGGGACAAGGUCCUUCCCCUCCCCUCCCAAGUGGACCAACAGCCCUUCUCCCUUCUGGGCCUGGGGCUGCGCGAACCCUUCUGCCUCUCGACCUCAUUUACGAUGCUCAGGAUGCUGCCAUCCCUCCUGGCUUUCCCCAUCCUGCCCUCCUCGCAGGCUUCUCUUUGGUGCCUGCAUGCGAUCCUGCCGCCGGUUCACGGGACGGGCAUCAAGGUACAAAACCAAACCCCGGGGGGUUCUGCAUGGGGCUGAGUUUAGUGAGGAGAGAGGGGGAAACUGAGGCAAGCUCAGGAAAGUCCUUUUUGCAGGGGCACGCUGGCCUGGGAGAGGCAAGCCAGGGCCUCUGGCUCUCCGCUUUUAACCACGAGGCUGUUUGCAGCGUGCCGCAGAGGCAGCCCGACAAGCCGUCUGCUCCCCCGUGCCCGCUGCGCUAG
rnacentral:lncRNA from 1 species